rnacentral:rRNA from 1 species
GAUGAAUGCUGGCGGCGUGCCUAACACAUGCAAGUCGAGCGGCAGCGAGGGGUGCUUGCACCCUGUCGGCGAGCGGCGAACGGCUGAGUAACGCGUAGGAAUUUGCCCCAAAGUGAGGAAUAACUGCCCGAAAGGGUAGCUAAUGCCGCAUAUGGUCUUCGGAUUAAAGGAUUUAUCCGCUUUGGGGGAAGCCUGCGUUGGAUUAGGUUGUUGGUAGGGUAAUGGCCUACCAAGCCGACGAUCCAUAGCUGGUCUGAGAGGAUGAUCAGCCAGACUGGAACUGAGACACGGUCCAGACUCCUACGGGAGGCAGCAGUGAGGAAUCUUCCACAAUGGGCGAAAGCCUGAUGGAGCAACGCCGCGUGAAGGAUGAAGGCCUUCGGGUUGUAAACUUCUUUUAUGAGUGAAGAAUAUGACGGUAACUCAUGAAUAAGCACCGGCUAACUACGUG